rnacentral:piRNA from 1 species
UCCUGCUGCCUGCAGAUUGAGAUAUAGUA